GAAUCGGCUAAACUUUUAUAUGUUGAUUGUCUUUUACUUAGGCUUUUGGCAUCUUGUGUCUGCAAAAGGUCGAAAUGGCUUCUGGGGUUUUGGUAUCAUAUAAGGAAGUAAAGCUUAUAUAUUUUCAGAAAUUUUAGCAUUUUUAGAUGAGCAAUGCAUUAACAUUUGUGAAUUGACCCAAGAAAUGACACUGCUCAUCUUAAUCUGUGGAUCAUAAAGGGAGAAGAUGCCAUUCACCUGCAGAUCUGAGUCAUUUCUAAGACUCUAAAGUAUAAUUUAGCGCUACAACAAAUAUUCAUAUUACAUUAUCCACCUUAUUGAGUGUUUAUUGGAUCCCUAUUCCACAAUUACUUACUAGUACUAUUGUUAUUAUAUAAUUGUUGUUGCCAUUAACAACAGCAGAAUUGUGAUUGUUGUUAUUAUUAAGGACUUUCUGUUGUUCUAUGAAUCCGCUUAUUUUUUUAGUGUCUCCAAUUAUUCUUACGAUUGCUUCAUGCUAACAUGUGUCUCAUGAAGACCUAGCCGUUUCCCAUAAUGUUCCUUUACUAUUUUGCAUGGCUUUAUACUCAGCUUCUCAAUUAGUUUAUUCUUGAUAGUUUUAUCUAUAAUGUUAUGUUCCAUUAUAUUCUAUUGUUUGUAAUCUUGUGCUUUCUUGUUCUAUAAACUUAACCAAGGGUAACAAACAAGAUGCUGGCUAAGGUAGAAAACGAGUAGCCCAACAUGUUAUAUAGAGUAAACAGGAAUUUCAUGUCCGUGCUUGACAUGAGUGAUGAUUCAAAGCAUAAAUUUGAGAAACAAGUUUAUCAGUUUCUCUCUGCUUAUUGGUUAGGUUGAUCAUAUUUGUAGUGUUUAGUCAAUAUCUAGGUUGAAUUACUGGGCAGACAAAUUGAACUGCAAUUUCUUGGAUGGCCACACUGUAAAUUGACAUAGAAAAAAGAUGUCUGCUAAUCGUCUCAAAUUGUUGUUUCAUGAACAAGGCUGAUCUCUAACCAAAGACACUUAGAUUUGAUAUGAAAGAAAGUUCUUCCAAUAAUCUUUAUGAAGCCAAUCUUAAAUCUCAAUGGUCAAAUAGAUGGUCUUGGAUGAAGAGAUGGCUCAAGCAUGAAAGAUCAUAAUGUGUGGCAGUCCAAAUUGCUUUUAAUGCAUUGGUUUCAUCAGAAAACAAUGAUGGUUAUAGCCAAUAGCUUGCAGUCGAACAUAAGGAACUCCUUUUCUUUUGUUUUUUAAACAUACAGACAACUCAAUAAUACCAUUUCUCAAGAAGCUUUAGAGGCAUAUCUCUUUGUGUGCGUGUGCGUGUGUUUUUUUUUUUAUUUUUAGUUUGGCAUUGUAGCAAGCUAGAGCUAAAAUAGUUAUCAUUGUUUUUCUCAGUGAUGUUAGAGAAGGUUAGGAAAUGCAUGACAGACAAGGGAAGCUUUAACCUAUUCCUAAUUAUCUAAACAAGAAAAUAACUAAUGGCUAUUAGGUGAGCGGAGAUCAUCAGGAUAUGCCUCUAAGAAAACCUUAUAAAUAUAGAACAAUACAAUUUGCCACUCUCUCAUCUUUCCUGUUUAGGAUGCCAGUUGCCUUCUUGUUCAUUUGACAGUAUUAUCUGCAAGAAAACAAAUUACUUGAUUAGGUACUAGAAACAUUCAAUCUUUUAUUUAAAAUCAUAAAAAGACUGGAUAAUUAAUUGGGUAUAGAAGAAAAUGUAGCAAGUACUAGAACCUUUUCGACCAUUUUCUCAAUCAUUCUCUUUUGUUGUGGAUAGGAAAGUUAUGUAUUUCUUUCUUAAUUUCUAUAUAAUUGUGAAACAUUUCUAGACAAAUAUACUAAUAAUUUUAUAUAUAUUCACCAAAUCUGAUGGGCCUUUGGCUUAGUUUUCUUUUACCUAUUACUAUUAUAAUUUACUCCUUUGUCAUCUGAAGUUGAUUGCAAGUGACCUGUCCUUAUCAAUAGAGUAUCUUUGUUAAAAUAGUGCACUAGUCCAACUUCAUACCUAUUAUAUAUUGAAACUUCCAGUGGCUUCUGCUUUCCACUUUCACUUGCAUUGUCUAAACCCCUAAUCAUGUAGCAGUGAGCUCAGCAUGCAUGCUCAGGAUGAUAUGACCCUUUCUUUGUGUAGUUUUCCUUUUGUAAAAUAGGCUUCUAUAUUUUUAUCAUCUCGAAUGAGCUGAGCAUGUUAGCACCUGAUUUACUGUAAUCACGCAAGUAGUUAUGGUAUUAAUUUGGUUAUCACUUUCAAAUCUUACUCCAGGGAAUCUGCAAAUAGUAGUCAAACCUUAAUUUUUGAAAUGUACUAAACAAAUGUUAAAAUAUAUGCUUAUGGUUGAUGACCUAUUUCUGGGACUUGAAUGGUUGACAAGGGAAGGAAGUAUGAUGCGGACUCUAUAAUUCUUUUAUUAUAUUAUUUCAAACUUUUAAAGAUUGAUCUAGUUGUACCUGCUAUGAUUAAUAGUGUCACAAUUGACUCUACCAGUUCAGGUCUACAUUCUAAGAUAUGCAGUUUAUCUGGAGAUUUUUGGCUGUUGAUUUAGAUGCUUGCCUGAAAUGCAUCUUAAAACUUUGUGUUCUAUACUUCAAACUUCACAGAGAUUUAUAUUUUUGAUGAUCUAAAUUCUCCAUCUGGGAUCCAUUUAUGGGCCACAUUGAGUUUGAGUAGCACUUUCCUUUCGCAUACAAAUGCAUCAAAAGUUAAAUUUAGAUGUAGAGGCAAUUUGCAAUAUGUACACGUUAAAUAUUCCAAUCAGUCAUUGCACUUUUGUAACUACGAACACAUGUAGGGGGCAUUUGGUUGCCUGCAACUGAAAAUUUCUGUAAAUAACACUUGCAGGUAGAAGCAAAAUCUGCAAGGAGUAACUGCUGGCACAGCUGUUUGGAUACAUGCAUAUCAAGUUGCUACUCGUGGUUGCAAGUUGCAACUAAGGUAGAAGACAUGCUAUCCAAACUGGAAGAUUGACUGGCCAGAACAGCUGGGGCUAUUCUGCUAUGAUAAAUGGGAUAAACUAUUGUGCCGACAGAGUAUAUGGCAGGUAGAUAUGCUUUUCAUGGGGCCCUGAGGAAAUAGAGAAAAAAGGUAUAUGCUACAUUGUUCUGGUAUUUGUAGGUGGCUAAUAAAUUCGUGCUUUGGUGAACAAUUAUUAUGUAGAUGUGUGUUUGUACCUAUGUCUGAAUACGUCUAGGUACAGACGGAUGUUGUUUCAAUUAGCUUGUGGGUCACUCUUGAUGGUUGAUGCUAAUCAAGUUUUCAGGAUUGUGUUCUCUGCUUCACAAAUUGCUGACAAAUAUUUAUGGUGCUCUAGAAGUUGUGCAUGAUAAUGGUGGGAGGGGGAUCUACUACCAUCGAGAAGGGGACUGUAAGAUGACAGGCUCUUUGUUCCUUGUCUCUCCCAAAGAUAACAUGGUCAUCCUGAUGACCUAUGAACCUCAUGUGUCUGCUCUAUGAGAGAGUAGGAGAAUUGGUUUGAGGAUACAAAACAUUAGGCUUUGCCUUAUAAUAUUUACCUAGCAAGAUUUCAAAUAUAAGUUGGAUUGGCAUGUAUCAA